rnacentral:rRNA from 1 species
UACGAAGGGUGCAAGCGUUACUCGGAAUUACUGGGCGUAAAGCGCGCGUAGGUGGUGAGUUAAGUCUGAUGUGAAAUCCCCGGGCUCAACCUGGGAAUGGCAUUGGAUACUGGCUGGCUAGAGUGCGGUAGAGGGUGGUGGAAUUCCCGGUGUAGCGGUGAAAUGCGUAGAGAUCGGGAGGAACAUCUGUGGCGAAGGCGGCCACCUGGACCAACACUGACACUGAGGCACGAAAGCGUGGGGAGCAAACAGG